CGCUUCGGCGCCCGACCUCCCAACCCUUUGACGAACCUCAACCUCUGUCUGCCUCGGGGGCGACCCGGUCCUCGCGGCCCGCGGUCCCCCCGGCGGCGCGAUUCUCCAACCCUGCAUCAAUUGUCGUCGGAUAUUGAAGCGAAUUCAAUCAAAACUUUCAACAACGGAUCUCUUGGUUCUGGCAUCGAUGAAGAACGCAGCGAAAUGCGAUAAGUAAUGUGAAUUGCAGAAUUCAGUGAAUCAUCGAAUCUUUGAACGCACAUUGCGCCCCCUGGCAUUCCGGGGGGCAUGCCUGUUCGAGCGUCAUUACACCAAUCACGCCUGGCGUGGUAUUGGGCGACGGGGCCGUCACACGCCCCGCGCCCCAAUGACUCCCCGGCGGGACGGACCGUAUCUCAGCGUUGUGCAAAUGCCGCUGGCGAGACGGGCUCGGCCGUGCCGUGAAAACCUCUUUUUAUUCAGGUUGACCUCGGAUCAGGUAGGGAUACCCGCUGAACUUAAGCAUAUCAAUAAGCGGAGGAAAAGAAACCAACAGGGAUUGCCCCAGUAACGGCGAAGCC
rnacentral:rRNA from 1 species